AUUCAGCUGACGAGUCCCGAACAGGACGAAACGCGAGUCCUGGAU
rnacentral:hammerhead_ribozyme from 1 species